ACGGAGGGUGCGAGCGUUGUUCGGAAUCAUUGGGCGUAAAGGGCGUGUAGGUGGUCUGUUAAGUCAUGUGUGAAAGCCCCCAGCUCAACUGGGGAAGUGCGCAUGAAACUGACAGGCUAGAGUACCGAAGAGGAAGGUGGAAUUCCCGGUGUAGCGGUGAAAUGCGUAGAUAUGCGGCGGAACACCGAUGGCGAAGGCAGCCCCCUGGGCUGAGAUUGACGCUCAGGCACGAAAGCGUGGGGAGCAAACAGGA
rnacentral:rRNA from 1 species